rnacentral:lncRNA from 1 species
GCCAAAGAUGCAUCAUCAUGUACAUAUCGCCUGCUGCUGCUGCUGCUGCUUUUGGAUUAGCAUCAGGUGCUGAGUAGUACGACUACGUCUCUUCUGGCGGGGCUUCCAUAUUCCAUCAUCACAGAAGUUAUCCAGCUAAGCUUAAAGGGGAAAAAAAAAACCUCGGCCUUUUUCACCCACCCACUAGCCCCCAGAUGCAUUCCAACUUCAUCGAAUUUUGAUUUCAGUGUUUAUCCUUAUCUGACAUGCUGGGAAAAUUCAUUCAUGUUUAGCAGACUACAAGGAUGGUGCCGCCAUUCUGAUAAACUUGCCUGUCAAGUUGUUACACAGCACAACUUCCAAUUCAACGCCUAAUUGAUCUAUAACCGAAUCUGGUCCACAACAAUUUAUUAAUUAGUCAUAUAUUAUUCCUGAGAAUGAUUACGAAUAUAUAUAUAUAUAUUUCUUUUUUCAUUUCUUCAAUUCCCACAGAAUGAAGAAAACCGCUGCUACUAACUAGUACUACUACUGAAGCCUAGCAGGGAGAUGAAGAGCAAACAAAUUGCUAUAAAAUUCCUCAAUUACAGAAAUUGAGCAACUAGCAGGGAGAUGAACAUUUUUUGGUAUAAGUUUGCUUGUUCUCGGCAAAGAUUAACUACUGAUGUGAUGUGAGAGGAAAGGAAGCGUCUGGAGUACUGAAUUGGAGGCAGGAGAAAGCUUACACUUGCAAUUUGAGAUGGACCUAUGUUAUCCUAAUGCAUCACUACUACUGCAUCUAUAGGUUACUUCAUGUGGUUCACACAAUCUUUGAAUGCAUCUUAGAAGACAAAAUUUCCAAAUGAUUUGAUGGAAAUCUUCAAACUUUGGAAUAAAAGCGGAGGAAAAUAUCUCUCGCCUCCGAAGAAAGAUCCAAACGCGAGAGUUGCUAAGUACACGGUACGCUUUGUUCUCUGAUCGCUCGACAUCUAGUCUCCUCUCCUCUUUUAGUCUCCUCUCCUCUUUUAGUCUUUUCUUUUAAUCCGUCCGCUGCUUUGAAAGUAGAUGGAAUUCAUGUGCCAACAAGGUCAUGUUGCACCAACGUGUUGCCUGACAAGCCAAAAAAAAAAAAAGAAAAGAAAAUGAAUGAAUCUCGAGCGGGAUUUGAGGGCAUCAGAUCACUGCAGAUCGAUCUUUUGCCAGUUUUCCUUUUUUUUUUUUUUUUGGUUCAUGAUUUACUACGAUUCUAGAAGUAUUCCUUGGUUUUUAGGACAGUACACUUUCUUAGUUACCCUAAGCAAGAUGAGAUUCUCUAGUCAUAGCUUUGUCAAUCCUUUUAUCUACAUGUUCAGUUCUCUGUUUACCAUUAGGUCGGCAUCCCAAUCCUUUCUGUCAAAACGAAGAUCAGAACUUAAAUUUUUUUUUUUUUUUUUCAUUAUAAAUUGCCUAGAGUGUGUGACUUUUAUAUUUUUAGCCAAGAACAAGGCAUGCUUCUGGCAUUCUUCUGGCAUUUAGCCAUUUAGCAUCAGCGCCCUUCCCCCACAGCCUCACACAACGAGAUAGAUGCUUUAUGUCUCUUCAAAUAAAUUCUUAUUUCGAUAAACUAAUAUCAAUAUAUAUUUUUAGUAAAAGGAUUUUUUUUUGCUUUAAAUAAAUACAAGCAAGCAAGCAACAACAGGUGAACGUUCGAAUUCAUAUAGCUCAAAAGACGAGUUUUGAUGCAUGCAAACCUCAAUGGAGAAGUCGACAUGCAUUAACCCAAACACAAGCAUUUCAUCAUUAGAAGCAGCAACAGAAGUGAGAUUUUUGUUAAUACAUACAUAGGCUCGUUUUUGUCCUCAAAUAUGCCUUAAUACACAAGUUAUGAAGUCGAGCAGCUAAAUGGAUCACAGUCGUACAUAUAAAAGAGAGAAUCCCGUCCAAUGUGAACCAGGGUCAAUACAUACCAUAGUACGUACAGCCAGUGCUGAUAUAAUUUCAGCGUAUCACUACCAGGCACCAAGGGGGCAAAAAUGGAAGUUAAUUACAUGCCACCCGUGCAUGGGAUUCAGCAAUUAGUCCUAGAAAUAUAUAUAUAUAUAUAUAUAUAUAUAUAUCCUCACUGGUUCAGUCCUUGCUCAUUUGCACUUCCACAAAUUUGUGCAGUGAAAAAUAUCUUGCGGCGAAAUUCAGCUGUUACCAGAGACUUGACCCCCAAACUGUGAUACAACAAACAGACUAGAGAUAGACAAGUCACAAAAUAUUCAAUUAUUGAAUAAAUAUAUAUAUAUAUUUGCAAUUUUGAAAGCACCUGAAGGAUGGUGAACUUAAUUAUACCUCCUCUGCAAACACUUCCCAGAAAAUUCCUUCUAUUGUACGUUUCGAUUUAGCAAACCUUGAAAAGAUAGGUAUAGAUCUUUGUUAUCCAUACCAAAAAUCUGUUCCGCUUUCCUCAAAGUUUCCUGGUUGUUUGAAAGAAAAGAGAUUGUGCAGUUAACAGGGCCACAUGAAACCAGGAUAAAAAAAUAAGAUUAACUUCCGUGGUUUAUACCUCACGGGAUUGCUUUUGCGCAUUUAGUUCCUUUAUGUUGGCCAGAAAUGCACUGAACUGCUCAUAGGAUAGACGGCUCCUACAUAAACAGUCCAGAAGCAAUCAAGUUUAUAAUCCCUUUGAAUUAAGCAAUCAAGUUAGAGUAACAGAAAGAUCAAAAAGUUGGUAGUCACCUUGCUUGACGAAAGAACUCUUUUCCAUCAAUUCGAGGAGUGCGAGCUUAAAAGUUCCAAAUCCAUAAAAAGAAAAUGCAAAAAGAUCAGAAGCUGUCCAACCAUAUUAAAAUGCACAGAAUUCAUUAGCUACCAGACAGGGCAAUUAAUACAGCUUCCAAUCAGAUGUCCUUCCUUAACGAUGAUGAUAUGACUAAGAACAACCCCACAUCACAAAAUAUUUUGCAGAUUGAUAGGCUUUACCUUUAAGACUAGCUAUCAAUUAUGAAAUCUAAUAUCCAGAAUUCCGCAGACCUGGCAUAGGGCGAC